UACGGAAGGGGGCUAGCGUUGCUCGGAAUCACUGGGCGUAAAGGGUGCGUAGGCGGGUCUUUAAGUCAGGGGUGAAAUCCUGGAGCUCAACUCCAGAACUGCCUUUGAUACUGAGGAUCUUGAGUUCGGGAGAGGUGAGUGGAACUGCGAGUGUAGAGGUGAAAUUCGUAGAUAUUCGCAAGAACACCAGUGGCGAAGGCGGCUCACUGGCCCGAUACUGACGCUGAGGCACGGAAAGCGUGGGAGCAAACAGGG
rnacentral:rRNA from 1 species